rnacentral:rRNA from 1 species
UACGUAGGGGGCAAGCGUUGUCCGGAAUUAUUGGGCGUAAAGCGCGCGCAGGCGGUCGCUUAAGUCUGGUGUUUAAGCCCGAGGCUCAACCUCGGUUCGCACUGGAAACUGGGUGGCUUGAGUGCAGGAGAGGAAAGCGGAAUUCCACGUGUAGCGGUGAAAUGCGUAGAGAUGUGGAGGAACACCAGUGGCGAAGGCGGCUUUCUGGCCUGUAACUGACGCUGAGGCGCGAAAGCGUGGGGAGCAAACAGG